rnacentral:rRNA from 1 species
UACGGGGGGGGCAAGCGUUGUUCGGAAUUACUGGGCGUAAAGGGCUCGUAGGCGGCCAACUAAGUCGGACGUGAAAUCCCUCGGCUUAACCGGGGAACUGCGUCCGAUACUGGAUGGCUUGAGUUUGGGAGAGGGAUGCGGAAUUCCAGGUGUAGCGGUGAAAUGCGUAGAUAUCUGGAGGAACACCGGUGGCGAAGGCGGCAUCCUGGACCAACACUGACGCUGAUGAGCGAAGCCAGGGAGCAACGGAUAGAAACCCGUUGUAUCCA